CUGACCCAGCGAUACCGCGUGCAGGAUGAAGGCCUUAUGCGUUGUAAACUGCUUUUAUAUAGGAAGAAAUAGACCUUGCGAGGUAAUUUGACGGUACUAUAUGAAUAAGCACCGGCUAACUCCGUGCCAGCAGCCGCGGUAAUACGGAAGGUGCAAGCGUUGUCCGGAUUUAUUGGGUUUAAAGGGUGCGUAGGCGGUUUAUUAAAUCAGUGGUGAAAGACGGUCGCUCAACGAUUGCAGUGCCAUUGAUACUGGUAGACUUGAAUGAGAUUGAGGUAGCUGGAAUGGAUAGUGUAGCGGUGAAAUGCAUAGAUAUUAUCCAGAACACCAAUUGCGUAGGCAAGUUACUAAGUCUCAACUGACGCUGAGGCACGAAAGUGUGGGUAUCAAACAGGAUUAGAUACCCUGGUAGUCCACACUGUAAACGAUGAUAACUAACUGUUGGCUUUUGGGUCAGUGGUACAGAGAAAUCGUUAAGUUAUCCACCUGGGGAGUACGCCGGCAACGGUGAAACUCAAAUGAAUUGACGGG
rnacentral:rRNA from 1 species